AUGGGAAAUAUUGAAACCGUCCUUUCCAGUAGUAUCGCUGCUGUAUUUUUUGCAGCUUUUGUUGUUGCUGGAACUAUGUGGGGGUUUGUUUAGAGCGGGCUCAAUGGACAAUGGAGAUGGAAUAGCGGUUGGUUGGUUAGGGCAUCCUAUCUUUAGAGACAAAGAGGGGCGUGAACUUUUUAUGGUGUUUUUCGUAGCAGUCCAAGGGGUUGGUUUACUUUUGGACAUGCUUCGUUUGCUCUGCUCUUCUUUUUCGGGCACAUUUGGCAUGGUGCUAGAACCUUGUUCAGAGAUGUUUUUGCUGGUAUUGAUCCAGAUUUGGAUGCGCAAGUAGAAUUUGGAGCAUUCCAAAAACUUGGAGAUCCAACUACAAAAAAACAGGGAGUCUGA